CCCCACUGAAAUUUAGUCUCGUGUGAAAUGAAACACAGAAUUUACUACUUUACUCCUAGGUAAUUCCCAAGAUCACCUGCCUCACUUCCUCCCCAGGGCACAAAAUCAGAGAUGUGCCAACAGAAGGCAUCCACUGCAGACCCUGUAAUCUUCCUCCCCAGCCACUGUGGCUAGUCCAGAGAUAGGACCAUGACAUGAAACCAGCCUAUUUGAGUCUUCCCUGGGAUUCUCCAACCUGCAAAACAAAAGCCUCUUGCAUGUCCGGUCAAGGAGCUGUGGGCACACAAGCUCCCAAAAGCUGCAAGUGGCAGAGGGUCCACAUAA
rnacentral:lncRNA from 1 species